AUGGAGGCCAGGCUUGAAGCUAUGGAGCAGGAGGUCGUCUGGUGCAAGGGGAUGCUGAAACGUGGAUUCAAUGCCAAUCACCUCAUGAUCACGGACUACACCCGUGAUCUCAAGGUGGAUGGCAAGUCCAUGAAGGACAUCGUCUUCAUGUUCAAUGAGCAAAUCAACUUCCUCCAAAGCCAGAUCUACGAUCUCCAAAAUCAAGUCUUUGAAUAUGAGGUGAGGUUUAAAGGUAUGAGUUUGGCUGCCCGUUGCAGGACCCGUGAGACUCACUCCUCCUCUUAUGAUGGUGAGCCUCUGCCAUGGAAACCCAAGGAUAAGAUUGCUACUUCAUCACCACCACUUCCUUCUUCAUCACCAAAAGAAAAUUGA
rnacentral:rRNA from 1 species